AUGGCUUCUUGGCCUUCUGGCUGCGAUCAAGGGUAGUCUCUGUUCUUAGCAGUUUAAAAGUCAGGCCUGUAUUGCAUUUUUCUCCCAUGAAACAUUUUAAUGGACUUUAAUACAGAUGUGCUAUUUUAAAUGACUCUGCCAGGAACACAUCCCCUGCCCUGUCCCGCCUGGGGUUUGCAGGGAAGCCCUC